AUUGAACGCUGGCGGCAUGCCUUACACAUGCAAGUCGAACGGCAGCGGGCCGUUCGGGGUGCCGGCGCGUGGCGAACGGGGGAGUAAUGCAUCGGAAUGUACCCGGGAGGGGGGGAUAACCGGCCGAAAGGAUGGGUACUACCGCAUGAACUCGGAAGAGCCAAGCGGGGGGGCUUCGGGCCUCGCGCUCUCGUAGGGGCCGACGCCCGGUUGGGCUAGUUGUUGGGGUGAAGGCCCACCAAGGGGACGUUCGGGAGUGGGAGGGUGGGGAAGAUGCGCCACACUGGGACUGGGACACGGCCCAGACUCCUACGGGAGGCAGCAGUGGGGAAUCUUAGACAGUGGGCGCAAACCUUAUCCAGCAGUGCCGCGUGGGUGAAGAAGGCCUUCCGGUUGUAAAGCCCGUUCUGCGGUGAAGAAAUCGGUCAGCCGAAUAGUCUGCCCGAAUGACGGUACCCGCAGAAGAAGCACCGGCUAACUACGUG
rnacentral:rRNA from 1 species